rnacentral:rRNA from 1 species
UACAGGGGGUGCAAACGUUGCUCGGAAUCAUUGGGCGUAAAGCGCACGUAGGCGGUCUGUUAUGUCGGAUGUGAAAGCCCUUGGACUCAACUGAGGAAGUGCAUCCGGAAACUGGCAGGCUAGAGUACUAAAGAGGAGUCGCGGAAUUCCCGGUGUAGAGGUGAAAUUCGUAGAUAUCGGGAGGAACACCGGUGGCGAAGGCGGCGAUCUGGGUAGAUACUGACGCUGAGGUGCGAAAGCGUGGGAGCAACAGG